ACGGAAGGCAGCAGUGGGGAAUAUUGCACAAUGGGGGAAACCCUGAUGCAGCGACGCCGCGUGAGUGAAGAAGUAUUUCGGUAUGUAAAGCUCUAUCAGCAGGAAAGAAAAUGACGGUACCUGACUAAGAAGCCCCGGCUAACUACGUGCCAGCAGCCGCGGUAAUACGUAGGGGGCAAGCGUUAUCCGGAUUUACUGGGUGUAAAGGGAGCGUAGACGGCUUUGCAAGUCUGAAGUGAAAGCCCGGGGCUCAACCCCGGAACUGCUUUGGAAACUGUAGAGCUAGAGUGCGGGAGAGGUAAGUGGAAUUCCUAGUGUAGCGGUGAAAUGCGUAGAUAUUAGGAGGAACACCAGUGGCGAAGGCGGCUUACUGGACUGUAACUGACGUUGAGGCUCGAAGGCGUGGGGAGCAAACAGGAUUAGAUACCCUGGUA
rnacentral:rRNA from 2 species